UUUUAGCUCAGUCGGUUAGAGCAUCUGACUGUUAAUCAGAGGGUCGCUGGUUCGAGCCCAGCA
rnacentral:tRNA from 3 species